rnacentral:rRNA from 1 species
AUUGAACGCUGGCGGCAGGCCUAACACAUGCAAGUCGAGCGAGCGGCGGACGGGUGAGUCAUGUCAGGCAGACUGCCUGAUGGAGGGGGCUACCUACAGGAAACGCUAGCUACUCCUGCAUACCAUCAGGUGUACCCCGAUUGGAUUAGUUAGUAGGUGGGGUAACGGCCCAACUAGGCGACGAUCCCUAGCUGGUCUGAGAGGAUGACCAGCAACACUGGAACUGAGACACGGUCCAGACUCCUACGGGAGGCAGCAGUGGGGAAUAUUGAACAAUGGGCGCAAGCCUGAUGCAUCCAGGGCGCGUGUGUGAAGAAGGCCUUCGGGUUGUAAAGCACUUUCAGCGGGGAGGCGUUACCCGCAGAAGAAGCACCGGCUAACUCCGUGCCAGCAGCCGCGGUAAUAC